AUGGAUGAGGAAGCUGCUAGAGCUAUCUUUGCUUGCAAAGAUAGAUAUGAUCUUAAGAAAUUAUUAGCCAAAUGGAAGCAACAAUCUCUUAAUGCAAGAAUGAAACCUGACCCCGCUUUUGCUACUUCACCUAUCUGUGUUACUGAUAAGGAUUAUGAAUUCUCUGUUGAUCCUGAAAUAAUUACUUUCGUUGAAUCCGAUCCUUUUUAUGGCCUUGAAUCUGAAACUGUUGUGGCACAUCUUACCAAGUUAAAUGAUAUAGCCACCCUGUUUACUAAUGAUGAGAAGUCUCGCUAUUUUUAUAUCCUUAAGAUAUUUCCGUUCACAUUAAAGGGUGAUGCUAAGACUUGGUUUAAGUCUCUUGAUCCUGGUUGUGUGCGUAGCCCCCAGGAUAUGAUUUAUUACUUCUUUGCUAAAUAUUUCCCUGCUCAUAAGAAACAAGCUGCCUUGCGGGAAAUAUAUAAUUUUGUGCAAAUCAAAGAAGAGAGUCUCCCACAAGCUUGGGGAGGCUUCUCCGAUUACUUAAUGCUUUGCCUGAUCAUCCUCUUAAGAAAAAUGAAAUACUUGAUAUCUUUUAUAAUGGACUAA
rnacentral:rRNA from 1 species